rnacentral:sRNA from 1 species
AAUAUAAAAGGGACAAAAGAACAAGAGGGCGAUAAAUCAAACACGGAAGGUUCGAAGAAAAAAAAGAUACCAAUCACCAAAACGUGAGAAAGUCGAAAGAUGAGGA